rnacentral:rRNA from 1 species
GACGAACGCUGGCGGCGUGCUUAACACAUGCAAGUCGAACGGAAAGGCCCCUUUGGGGGUACUCGAGUGGCGAACGGGUGAGUAACACGUGAGUAACCUGCCCUUGACUUCGGGAUAACUUCAGGAAACUGGGGCUAAUACCGGAUAGGAAUCCUUGCUGCAUCGUGGGGGUUGGAAAGCUUCGGCGGUUUUGGAUGGACUCGCGGCUUAUCAGCUUGUUGGUGGGGUAGUGGCUUACCAAGGCUUUGACGGGUAGCCGGCCUGAGAGGGCGACCGGCCACAUUGGGACUGAGAUACGGCCCAGACUCCUACGGGAGGCAGCAGUGGGGAAUAUUGCACAAUGGGCGGAAGCCUGAUGCAGCAACGCCGCGUGCGGGAUGACGGCCUUCGGGUUGUAAACCGCUUUCAGCAGGGGCGAAGCUUGUGGUGACGGUACCUGCAGAAGAAGCACCGGCUAACUACGUG